rnacentral:tRNA from 1 species
GGAGGCGGGAGGGUGCCUGGUGGCCCCCAUGGUCUUCAAAACCACUGCACGGCGCUCGGCGUCGUGGGCGGGUUCGAUUCCCGUACGCCUCCGCCA